rnacentral:rRNA from 1 species
UACGUAGGGCGCAAGCGUUGUCCGGAAUUAUUGGACGUAAAGCGCACGUAGGCGGCUUAGCAAGUCGGAUGUGAAAUCCCUCGGCUCAACCAAGGAAGUGCAUCCGAAACUGCUGAGCUUGAGUACGAAAGAGGAUCGCGGAAUUCCCGGUGUAGAGGUGAAAUUCGUAGAUAUUCGCAAGAACACCAGUGGCGAAGGCGGCUCACUGGCCCGAUACUGACGCUGAGGCACGAAAGCGUGGGGAGCAAACAGG